GAAACCUACGGGGCGCAGCAGUGGGGGAUAUUGCACAAUGGGGGAAACCCUGAUGCAGCGACGCCGCGUGAGUGAAGAAGUAUUUCGGUAUGUAAAGCUCUAUCGGCAGGGAAGAAAAAAAUGACAGUACCUGACUAAGAAGCCCCGGCUAACUACGUGCCAGCAGCCGCGGUAAUACGUAGGGGGCAAGCGUUAUCCGGAUUUACUGGGUGUAAAGGGGGCGCAGACGGCGAUGCAAGCCAGGAGUGAAAGCCCGGGGCCCAACCCCGUGACGGCUCUUGGAACUGCGUGG
rnacentral:rRNA from 1 species